rnacentral:rRNA from 1 species
GGGGAAUUUUGGACAAUGGGCGCAAGCCUGAUCCAGCCAUGCCGCGUGCGGGAAGAAGGCCUUCGGGUUGUAAACCGCUUUUGUCAGGGAAGAAACGGUUUGGGUUAAUACCUCGAACUAAUGACGGUACCUGAAGAAUAAGCACCGGCUAACUACGUGCCAGCAGCCGCGGUAAUACGUAGGGUGCAAGCGUUAAUCGGAAUUACUGGGCGUAAAGCGUGCGCAGGCGGUCAUGCAAGACAGAUGUGAAAUCCCCGGGCUCAACCUGGGAACUGCAUUUGUGACUGCAUGACUUGAGUACGGCAGAGGGGGAUGGAAUUCCGCGUGUAGCAGUGAAAUGCGUAGAUAUGCGGAGGAACACCGAUGGCGAAGGCAAUCCCCUGGGCCUGUACUGACGCUCAUGCACGAAAGCGUGGGGAGCAAAC